UACGUAGGGUGCAAGCGUUAAUCGGAAUUACUGGGCGUAAAGCGUGCGCAGGCGGUGAUGUAAGACAGGUGUGAAAUCCCCGGGCUUAACCUGGGAACUGCAUUGUGACUGCAUCGCUGGAGUGCGGCAGAGGGGAUGGAAUUCCGCGUGUAGCAGUGAAAUGCGUAGAUAUGCGGAGGAACACCGAUGGCGAAGGCAAUCCCCGUGGGCCUGCACUGACGCUCAUGCACGAAAGCGUGGGAGCAACAGG
rnacentral:rRNA from 1 species